rnacentral:rRNA from 1 species
UACGUAGGUGGCAAGCGUUGUCCGGAUUUAUUGGGUUUAAAGGGUGCGUAGGCGGUCUUCUAAGUCAGUUGUGAAAUACUUCAGCUUAACUGGAGAGGUGCAAUUGAUACUGGAAGACUUGAGUACUGAUGAGGUAGGCGGAAUGGACGGUGUAGCGGUGAAAUGCUUAGAUAUCGUCCAGAACACCGAUAGCGAAGGCAGCUUACUAAGGAGUAACUGACGCUGAUGCACGAAAGUGUGGGGAUCAAACAGG